UUCCUUCAAGCUUAACUCAAGAACGAGAACAAUUAAACAAAAAAGUGGGGCAUACCAAAGUUCAUAGAAACACACAAUUAAACUUCACAAUAAAGAUACAUGCAAUUAACAAAACAAAAGUUCAUGGUGAAACGAGAGCCACCAAAAGUACAACAACAACAAAAAAUGGGAAACACCAACAUGUGAUGCUUCCUAAAGUACAACCAUAAUUAAAAACACAAAAACAAUAAUAAUAAUAAAUAAAUAACUAACAAAUAAAAAAUCUAAUACUACCCAAACCAAGGUCUUC
rnacentral:lncRNA from 1 species